AGUGAUUGGUGAUUAAGAUCUGUAAUUCAGUUUGUACUCCGAACAUGUCUGUAAAUAGCCAAGAUUUUUACGCUAUGCAGUUUAAUUAAAGGUUGGAAGUGCAUCUGUAUACAAUGAAGUUAUUCUGGAUAUUAGCAGUGAUCUUAUCAGUUGUGUCAUGGACGGGUGCAGCUCGCGGCGGAGGCUGUAUAUGUCCCGCAGUUUUUGACCCCGUGUGUGGGGUCGAUCGGACGACAUACAGCAACAGUUGUCGUUUGCAAUGCGCCAGAUUGCGGCUGUCACAUAAAGGAGUGUGUUAGUCAUAAAUUGAUAACAAACGAUGCUUUAAUAAACACUCGAUUAUAUUCAAAUAAUCAAUAUAUUUUUUUUACUUUCAUAUAUUUUCCGAAAAAAUAUUAUUUUGCUUCUCAACAAAUAUAUUGUAGUCCCAAAUACCUUCAUCCCUAUCUGAAUAAGUUAUUAAAAGGUUAAGUUAAUCAUCUCCAUGUAAAUUGUUGUUUACAAUGUAUAAUAUCCUCCGGCGCUGGUGGGUUGUGUUGUUAGUCGGGUUGUAAAUUGUUGUUGCUUAGAUGGCACGUACAUGAUAAUCUAGAGCUAAAAGAUAAUUUUGCCUCAGGAAUUCACUUGCCAGUCACACGUAGAUUUCUUAGAUAGGAUGCCUAAGAAUCCUUAAGUUGCUUGAACGCUUCUUUGAGCUAACACAUUUCUUUAGUGUUAAAAAGGCGUAGAAAAUAAAAUAAUCGAUCAGAGAUUAUAUCUAUAAUUUUCCAUUUGUUACACUACAGUAGAGUUAUUGUGAUAAAUUGUGCUCACUGCGUAACUACAGGUUGGUGCUGUACAUAACACUUCUAAAAAAACAGAUUUGAUGAAAAUUAAAUAAGUAAGUCAA